GAAGAAAUGGUAAUGAACUGGAAACCUAAUAAGAGUGGAUAGAUGUGGUGCUUUUGAACACAUAAGGAUGAUUCUGUAUUUUAUAAAGGAACACAUUCUUUUCUGGCUGCCAUCUGUUGUGGGGAGAACAACAUUUCUUUGGUGGGGCCGUGGGGAAGACGUAUCCUAGGGACUAGGCACAUUUACCAUGUUCUACAGUAGGGGUAUAUGGGCUCUCCAUGUCACGGCUGUUUCUACUGUGAUAUCCCAGAAUUAUUCGUUUGAUAAGCCAUUAUAUGUAGGUGUAAGUGGUCAUGUGGUGCACUAUCUUUGGUUCCAGGAAUGGGAAAGGGAGGGGACGGUUUACUUCACUUAGGUUAAGUAUUAAUGAUAUAAAAAUAAGAGAGAGAAGCAA
rnacentral:lncRNA from 1 species